rnacentral:rRNA from 1 species
UACAGAGGGUGCGAGCGUUGUUCGGAAUUAUUGGGCGUAAAGGGCGCGUAGGCGGUCGUGACAAGUCACUUGUGAAAUCUCCGGGCUUAACUCGGAACGGUCAAGUGAUACUGUCGGACUAGAGUACAGAAGGGGCAACUGGAAUUCUCGGUGUAGCGGUGAAAUGCGUAGAUAUCGAGAGGAACACCUGCGGCGAAGGCGGAUCUCUGGGCCUUACCUGACGCUGAGGCGCGAAAGCUAGGGGAGCGAACAGG